GGAAGGAUGGCCGAGUGGUUAUGGCGUGUGACUCAAGCGUUCAGCUUCUUCACUUUCAGAAAGUGGGGUUUCUCAUGGGCUUUGCCCGCGGGGGUUCGAAUCCCCCUCCUUUCA